rnacentral:rRNA from 1 species
GACGAACGCUGGCGGCGUGCCUAAUACAUGCAAGUAGAACGCUGAAGGAGGAGCUUGCUCUUCUGGAUGAGUUGCGAACGGGUGAGUAACGCGUAGGUAACCUGCCUGGUAGCGGGGGAUAACUAUUGGAAACGAUAGCUAAUACCGCAUAAGAGUAGAUGCUGCAUGACAUUUACUUAAAAGGUGCAAUUGCAUCACUACCAGAUGGACCUGCGUUGUAUUAGCUAGUUGGUGGGGUAACGGCUUACCAAGGCGACGAUACAUAGCCGACCUGAGAGGGUGAUCGGCCACACUGGACUGAGACACGGCCCAGACUCCUACGGGAGGCAGCAGUAGGGAAUCUUCGGCAAUGGACGGAAGUCUGACCGAGCAACGCCGCGUGAGUGAAGAAGGUUUUCGGAUCGUAAAGCUCUGUUGUAAGAGAAGAACGAGUGUGAGAGUGGAAAGUUCACACUGUGACGGUAUCUUACCAGAAAGGGACGGCUAACUACGUG